GAUGAACGCUGGCGGCGUGCUUAACACAUGCAAGUCGAACGAUGAAGCCCAGCUUGCUGGGUGGAUUAGUGGCGAACGGGUGAGUAACACGUGAGUAACCUGCCCUUAACUCUGGGAUAAGCCUGGGAAACUGGGUCUAAUACCGGAUAGGAGCGUCCACCGCAUGGUGGGUGUUGGAAAGAUUUAUCGGUUUUGGAUGGACUCGCGGCCUAUCAGCUUGUUGGUGAGGUAAUGGCUCACCAAGGCGACGACGGGUAGCCGGCCUGAGAGGGUGACCGGCCACACUGGGACUGAGACACGGCCCAGACUCCUACGGGAGGCAGCAGUGGGGAAUAUUGCACAAUGGGCGCAAGCCUGAUGCAGCGACGCCGCGUGAGGGAUGACGGCCUUCGGGUUGUAAACCUCAUUCAGUAGGGAAGAAGCGAAAGUGACGGUACCUGCAGAAGAAGCACCGGCUAACUACGUG
rnacentral:rRNA from 1 species